rnacentral:rRNA from 1 species
GACGAACGCUGGCGGCGUGCCUAAUACAUGCCAGUAGAACGCUGAAGGAGGAGCUUGCUCUUCUGGAUGAGUUGCGAACGGGUGAGUAACGCGUAGGUAACCUGCCUGGUAGCGGGGGAUAACUGUUGGAAACGAUAGCUAAUACCGCAUAACAGUAGAUGUUGCAUGACAUUUACUUAAAAGGUGCAAUUGCAUCACUACCAGAUGGACCUGCGUUGUAUUAGCUAGUUGGUGGGGUAACGGCUCACCAAGGCGACGAUACAUAGCCGACCUGAGAGGGUGAUCGGCCACACUGGGACUGAGACACGGCCCAGACUCCUACGGGAGGCAGCAGUAGGGAAUCUUCGGCAAUGGACGGAAGUCUGACCGAGCAACGCCGCGUGAGUGAAGAAGGUUUUCGGAUCGUAAAGCUCUGUUGUAAGAGAAGAACGAGUGUGAGAGUGGAAAGUUCACACUGUGACGGUAUCUUACCAGAAAGGGACGGCUAACUACGUG